GAGGCUGUAGCUCAGUGGUAGAGUGCCUACAUAGCAUGCAUGAGGUCCUGGGUUCAAUCCCCAGUACCCCCA
rnacentral:tRNA from 1 species